rnacentral:rRNA from 1 species
GACGUCCACUUACUUGGAGUCCGAACUCUCACUUUCUAACCCUGUGCACUUGUUUGGGAUAGUAACUCUCGCAAGAGAGCGAACUCCUAUUCACUUAUAAACACAAAGUCUAUGAAUGUAUUAAAUUUUAUAACAAAAUAAAACUUUCAACAACGGAUCUCUUGGCUCUCGCAUCGAUGAAGAACGCAGCGAAAUGCGAUAAGUAAUGUGAAUUGCAGAAUUCAGUGAAUCAUCGAAUCUUUGAACGCACCUUGCGCUCCAUGGUAUUCCGUGGAGCAUGCCUGUUUGAGUGUCAUGAAUACUUCAACCCUCCUCUUUCUUAAUGAUUGAAGAGGUGUUUGGUUUCUGAGCGCUGCUGGCCUUUACGGUCUAGCUCGUUCGUAAUGCAUUAGCAUCCGCAAUCGAACUUCGGAUUGACUUGGCGUAAUAGACUAUUCGCUGAGGAAUUCUAGUCUUCGGACUAGAGCCGGGUUGGGUUAAAGGAAGCUUCUAAUCAGAAUGUCUACAUUUUAAGAUUAGAUCUCAAAUCAGGUAGGACUACCCGCUGAACUUAAGCAUAUCAAUAAGCGGAGGAACC